GGUGCAUUAGCUCAGAGGUCAAGAGCAUCGUGCUUAUAACGCGAUGGUCGCGGGUUCAAACCCCGCAUGCACCA